ACAGUAGAGUAGAUUGAAAAUCAUAUCAUCGAAGGAAAUCUCCAAUACCAAGAUUUGCCACGAAUCCUUGUCGAUACGAAAACUCUGCUACUAGAACCUGGAGGGAUAAAAACAAGAGUGAGUGGGCCUAAAAAUAACGCUUUAAUAAAGAACUUCUAAAUGUUAUAAUCCCUUUCUGUAAUACCUGUAUAGUUUCCAGGAAAUCAUACUAUGUAUAAUUAUGAAAUCAAAUGUAAAUAAAUAGUAAAUACGGGAAUAUUCCAAAUCACUACAUAUCGACAGCAGCAUAAAACAAAAUUAGGUGCUCAUCAAUCUAUGAUCACACAUGAGUCGGAGUUGCCUAAUGCAACCUAUUUGACUCAUAAAUCAAUCUAUGAUAACACAUGAAUCGGAGUUGUCUAAUGCAACCUGCAUGACUCAUAAAUCAAUCUAUGAUAACACAUAAGUGAAAGUUGUCUAAUGCAACCUAUACGACUCAUAGGCAACCAGUACGACAGUGUUAGAGUUGCCUAGUAUUGCAACCUGUAUGACAAUGUCGGAGUUGCCUAGUUUUGCAACCUGUACGACAGUGUCGGAGUUGCCUAGUAUUGCAACCUGUAAGAUAGUGUUGAAGUUGCAUAAAACACAAAUAUAGUCAUGCCAUAACUCAAUCAUUUCAGAUAACACCAUAAACUCACCUGAACUUACCUGCAUGUCUUGCGUUCACCUUAACACUUCAAAGUAUUCACAACAAUUAUAUAUAGGUAAUAUGCAUAUGGAUAUACCAUGAUGCAAUCUAAAACUUAACCAUAUCAUAGUAUUUUAGAAUAUAUAUAUAUAUAUAUAUAUAACAUGGCAUAAAAUGCAUAAAUCAAUUUGAAAGCGUUUGUGGAGCUAUCAGUUAUAUAUAUACAAUAAAAAGGAAAAGAUCCACUCAUCUGAGGUUUGCGCUACGACUCCCGAGCAUAAAUAUCGAGACGUCACGAACAAUCAUGACCUAGAAAAAAUAUUCAAUCGCAUCUCAGAACUCUUAUGAAUAAAACACGUAACUUACAUAAAACACAUCCCAAGGACGUUCUAGAAUGAUUUGAGACCCAUUCACGAAGAGUCAACCGUCAGUCAAAGAUCAAUGGUAGGGUCCACAACCUUACGUAACUCGAUCCAGAAGAUCCGUACUUCUGAUUUCCGAUCCGUAAAUUCCAAAGAUCCACAUUAUGCUUCUAGAACAACAUCCUAAAGUUUUGGAACGAUCCAACAGUCAGAUCUCCGGUAAUUGCUAAAACUAACUGGCGACCGAUGUUUUAUUUUAAGAACUUACAAAUCUGAUUCGGAAAGAUCCAUAUAUCGGAUUCCUGAUUUGUAAGUUCCUAUGGUCCUCAAAUAUUACGUACUAUAAGGUACUAAGGUUUGGUGACGAUCGAACGGUCUGAUCGUCAAUUAUCUUAACACAUAAAUUUAAUCCUCUUUUGACAAUUGUAGUACAAGUAUAAGUAGGGAUCGUUCUAGACCGACGAUUAGGAGGGCUUGCUAAUAGCCUCUGAACUGACUCAAAAACAUAAAACUAAACUUAAAAACACUUAACAAGACUCACAAGACUCAAUGCAAACUUAAAAUACUCAAAACAACUUAAAACA
rnacentral:lncRNA from 1 species